rnacentral:rRNA from 1 species
AGUGAACGCUGGCGGUAGGCCUAACACAUGCAAGUCGAACGGCAGCACAGUAAGAGCUUGCUCUUACGGGUGGCGAGUGGCGGACGGGUGAGGAAUACAUCGGAAUCUACUUUUUCGUGGGGGAUAACGUAGGGAAACUUACGCUAAUACCGCAUACGACCUACGGGUGAAAGCAGGGGUUCUUCGGACCUUGCGCGAUUGAAUGAGCCGAUGUCGGAUUAGCUAGUUGGCGGGGUAAAGGCCCACCAAGGCGACGAUCCGUAGCUGGUCUGAGAGGAUGAUCAGCCACACUGGAACUGAGACACGGUCCAGACUCCUACGGGAGGCAGCAGUGGGGAAUAUUGGACAAUGGGCGCAAGCCUGAUCCAGCCAUACCGCGUGGGUGAAGAAGGCCUUCGGGUUGUAAAGCCCUUUUGUUGGGAAAGAAAAGCAGCAGGUUAAUACCCCGCUGUUCUGACGGUACCCAAAGAAUAAGCACCGGCUAACUUCGCG